rnacentral:tRNA from 3 species
GAUUCCGUAGCUCAGUAGGUAGAGCACAUCCCUUUUAAGGAUGGGGUCCUGGGUUCGAGCCCCAGCGGAAUCA